rnacentral:snoRNA from 1 species
CUAAGAAUACUCUCACUGUUCUGAUUUUGUCAUAAUCAGAAAAAGAUGAAUAUUCUCUAUAAUGAUAUCACACGUGUCCCGGACUUAGUUUUUUCCUAGGUCUGAUCUUCGGAUGCUGAUGAUAAAU